AUGCAAUCCUUUAAAGCAGGAUAUACUUGUAGAUUCUGCAAGGCUACACAAGACCAAAUUCAGUCUCUUGAAGUCAGAGAUGGUGAAUUUAGUCCAAGGACUAAAGCCAGUCAUGACUGUGAUGUGCAGGAUGUUACACAUGAGGGUGGUCAAAGCCAGUGUGGUGUCAAAGGGGACUGUAUCUUGAAAGAGAAGUUGCAGUACUUUCAUACCAUCACUGGUUUCCCACCUGAUGUCUUGCAUGAUCUUUUUGAGGGUAUUGUACCUGUUGAGUUGGCCCUAUGUAUUAAGGAGAUGAUUCGGCUCAAAUAUUUUACUCUUGAGUAUUUGAACUGGAAAAUUGUGUCAUUCCCGUACCAACACACAGAUAAGAUUGAUAAACCACGAUCUAUUUCAAAGAACUUUGCUGCAAAGAGGACCAUUGGUGGCAAUGGCCACGAAAAUAGCACAUUGCUGAGACUACUCCCAUUGAUGAUUGGUAAUACAGUCCCUGAGGGAGAUGGUGCUUGGACUGUAUUGAUGGAUUUGAAAGAUGUUGUGGAGCUUGUGCUGUCCCCAACAUUUGUUGACGCAUCUAUCCAGUAUUUGCAGACAAAGAUACAGGAUCACAGGCACAUGCUUCAGGAGGUUUUCCCAGAGUUCACACUGCUCCCUAAACAUCAUUAUGUUGAACACUACCCAGAUCUCAUACAGUGUUUUGGGCCUCUUGUCCAUUUGUGGACUAUGCGGUUUGAGGGCAAACACUGCUUUUUCAAGCGUGUAGUACAUGACACACAAAAUUUUAAAAAUGUUUUGAAAACACUAGCAACUAGGCAUCAGCACAUGAUGGGCUACUAUCUCAGUGCACCAUCAUUCUUUAAACCACAUCAGCAGACAUCAAAUGUCUCCUCUGUCUUGGUUUCAGAGCUUCCGGAGGUUGCAAAAGAACACAUUAAGCAAAAAACAGACAGCAACCUGAUUUACAGCACAUCAAAAAUCAUUAUUGAUGGUACUGAUUAUGAUGUUGGGAUGUUUGUAUCUGUGGGGCAAGAGGGGGGACUGCCUCAGUUUAGCAAAAUACAGCAGAUCCUCCUUGUUAACAAUGAUGUCACCUUUCUUUGCCAAAGACACAAAUCACAGUACAUUGAACACCUGAGAUCAUAUGAACUUUACCCAGGCAAUAUAACUGUCCAAAGUGUAUCAGAGCUCAAUGACAACUCACCCCUCUCUGCAUACAGUGUAGAAGGAAAAUUGCUGUUGUCGCCCAAACGAUUCAUACUGUUGCACUGA
ensembl:lncRNA